GAUAUUGAAGAUGAAGAAGGGAACCCUGGUAGCGAUAGGAAUGAAGAAGGGAGACAUCAGUGUGUGGAAGAUACUGAUUUAGAUGAGAGAGGCUAUGAUGUUGAGAUCACCGACACUGAAGCAUCAGACGAUUUGCUGUAUGAAGAAGUUCUGACGGUGCUGACUAAGAGUGCCCAAAGGAAAGAACAUCGGAAAGCUGUUUUGCAACGAAAAAAGAAGAGAGCAAGGAUUGACCCAAACACAAUCAAAGCCACAAUUGAUGAGAUUGCGACCAAAGCUUACAGCCGGUGUAGCGUGCCAUACUUCUCCGAGAUUGUGAGUUUCGUGUGUAAGAGCCACCACAGGGUCCAACUUGUUAGGAACAGCGGUUUCGGGUAUCUGUUGGAGCUGGUUGACUGUCCUGUACCCAGGGGUUUUGUGCAGUGGAUCGCUGACAAUGUUGACACAAAAGCAGAAGCAAUUGUUUUCAACAAGAAGAGCAUUCCACUGAAUGCUCAGUCAGUGGAGUUUGUGUUGGGGAUUCCUUCAGGGGAAACAAUCAUAAACACUAAAGAAGAAGAUGCUGGCAAACAAGCUUUUCUUGCGCUUUUUGGUUUGACAGAAGUCCCAACAAUCAAAUUCUUUGGCAAUAAGCUGAUGAACGAAGAUAUGUCUGACGACCAGAUCAUCCGUUGUUUCCUGGUUGUGGCAUUAUCAACAUUCCUUUGCCCGACAUCAAACACUAAACCAAGCACCAAAUAUAUGGGAGCUCUAGUUAAUGUGGAGCAACUCAAGCAACUAAAUUGGUGCAGGUUUGUUCACGAUUGGUAG
rnacentral:rRNA from 1 species